GUGAAUCAUCGAAUCUUUGAACGCACCUUGCGCCCUCUGGUAUUCCGGAGGGCAUGCCCGGUUGAGUGUCAUGAAUAUCUCAACCCCAACGCUUUGUUUGAAAGUCCCUUGACGUGCCGGCUGGCCUAGCGAGGCCGCCGUAGCAUUCCUUGCGACUGAAGCGCUGGGGCUUGGACUUGAGCUCUGUUGGCCUUUGUGUCGACUGGCUUGAAAUUGAUCAGCGAUGCGCGAUCCCUUGGGUCCAUCUCGGCGUGAUAAGUUGAUCGUCGCAAAGGACUUCCUUGGGUGUGGCUUGCUUCUAAUUGUCUUAGGACAGCUUUUGACGUUUACACCUCAACUCGGGUAGGACUACCCGCUGAACUUAAGCAUAUCAAUAAGCGAAGGAAAAGA
rnacentral:rRNA from 2 species